rnacentral:rRNA from 1 species
GCAUGGUCUUAGCUUGCUAAGGCUGAUGGCGACCGGCGCACGGGUGAGUAACACGUAUCCAACCUGCCGUCUACUCUUGGCCAGCCUUCUGAAAGGAAGAUUAAUCCAGGAUGGGAUCAUGAGUUCACAUGUCCGCAUGAUUAAAGGUAUUUUCCGGUAGACGAUGGGGAUGCGUUCCAUUAGAUAGUAGGCGGGGUAACGGCCCACCUAGUCAACGAUGGAUAGGGGUUCUGAGAGGAAGGUCCCCCACAUUGGAACUGAGACACGGUCCAAACUCCUACGGGAGGCAGCAGUGAGGAAUAUUGGUCAAUGGGCGAUGGCCUGAACCAGCCAAGUAGCGUGAAGGAUGACUGCCCUAUGGGUUGUAAACUUCUUUUAUAAAGGAAUAAAGUCGGGUAUGCAUACCCGUUUGCAUGUACUUUAUGAAUAAGGAUCGGCUAACUCCGUGCCAGCAGCCGCGGUAAUACGGAGGAUCCGAGCGUUAUCCGGAUUUAUUGGGUUUAAAGGGAGCGUAGAUGGAUGUUUAAGUCAGUUGUGAAAGUUUGCGGCUCAACCGUAAAAUUGCAGUUGAUACUGGAUGUCUUGAGUGCAGUUGAGGCAGGCGGAAUUCGUGGUGUAGCGGUGAAAUGCUUAGAUAUCACGAAGAACUCCGAUUGCGAA